GCCCCCGUCGUCUAGUGGCCCAGGACCCCGCCCUUUCACGGCGGUAGCGCCGGUUCGAAUCCGGUCGGGGGUGCCA
rnacentral:tRNA from 1 species